UAAGCAUAUCAAUAAGCGGAGGAAAAGAAACCAACAGGGAUUGCCCUAGUAACGGCGAGUGAAGCGGCAACAGCUCAAAUUUGAAAGCUGGCUCCGGCCCGCAUUGUAAUUUGCAGAGGAUGCUUCUGGCAAGGUGCCUUCCGAGUUCCCUGGAACGGGACGCCAUAGAGGGUGAGAGCCCCGUAUGGAUGGACACCAAGCCUGUGUGAAGCUCCUUCAACGAGUCGAGUAGUUUGGGAAUGCUGCUCAAAAUGGGAGGUAAAUCUCUUCUAAAGCUAAAUACCGGCCAGAGACCGAUAGCGCACAAGUAGAGUGAUCGAAAGAUGAAAAGCACCUUGAAAAGGGGGUUAAACAGUACGUGAAAUUGUUGAAAGGGAAGCGCUUGUGACCAGACUUGCGCCGGGCAGCUCAUCAGGGGUUCUCUCCUGUGCACUCUGCCCGGCUCAGGCCAGCAUCGGUUCUCGUGGGGGGAUAAGAACAGUGGGAAUGUGGCCCCCCUCCGGGGGGGUGUUAUAGCCCAUUGUACGAUACCCUCGUGGGGACCGAGGUUCGCGCUCCGCAAGGAUGCUGGCGUAAUGGUCAUCAGCGACCCGUCUUGAAACACGGACCAAGGAGUCGUCCAUUAGAGCGAGCGUUUGGGUGUAAAACCCGCACGCGUAAUGAAAGUGAACGCAGGUGAGAGCUUCGGCGCAUCAUCGACCGAUCCUGAUGUCUUCGGAUGGAUUUGAGUAAGAGUUUUAACGGACGGACCCGAAAGACAGUGAACUAUGCUUGUAUAGGGUGAAGCCAGAGGAAACUCUGGUGGAGGCUCGCAGCGGUUCUGACGUGCAAAUCGAUCGUCAAAUAUGAGCAUGGGGGCGAAAGACUAAUCGAACUGUCUAGUAGCUGGUUACCGCCGAAGU
rnacentral:rRNA from 1 species